rnacentral:rRNA from 1 species
AGUGAACGCUGGCGGUAGGCCUAACACAUGCAAGUCGAACGGCAGCACAGUAAGAGCUUGCUCUUACGGGUGGCGAGUGGCGGACGGGUGAGGAAUACAUCGGAAUCUACUUUUUCGUGGGGGAUAACGUAGGGAAACUUACGCUAAUACCGCAUACGUCCUACGGGUGAAAGCAGGGGAUCUUCGGACCUUGCGCGAUUGAAUGAGCCGAUGUCGGAUUAGCUAGUUGGCGGGGUAAAGGCCCACCAAGGCGACGAUCCGUAGCUGGUCUGAGAGGAUGAUCAGCCACACUGGAACUGAGACACGGUCCAGACUCCUACGGGAGGCAGCAGUGGGGAAUAUUGGACAAUGGGCGCAAGCCUGAUCCAGCCAUACCGCGUGGGUGAAGAAGGCCUUCGGGUUGUAAAGCCCUUUUGUUGGGAAAGAAAAGCAGCAGGUUAAUACCCCGCUGUUCUGACGGUACCCAAAGAAUAAGCACCGGCUAACUUCGU